AGCGGAACUAAAUGUGCGGUGAAGUAGUUGCUCGUAGGUCCCUUUUAAGGUGUGGACAUUUCCUCCCCCUUCCCCUCGGAGCAAACUUGGAAAGCUUCAAAAAUAGUUGGUGUCUUCGCUCUUCUUUCUGUGUUUUCCAGCUGUUCCGGAACCUUCUGGUCACACACCGCUGUGGGACGGCAUUCCACUACUGUAAGGCUUUUCUGCUCCUGCCAUAAAUGGGACAUCAUUUAAAAGUCUUUCAGAUGGUUUCAAGAAGAGAAGAUCCCAGUUUUGUCUCGCGCUUCAUCUGGGAACCCUUUGGACUUUGGUGAUUGAAGGGCAGUUUUCACGCCACCUACCGUUUUCCGUGAUGAUGACGUCCGUGUGGCAGCUGCCGUACUUGUGAAUGUGCUGCACAGCUUCAUGCAUGCUGUCUACCACCUCCACGCAGCACUCCAGGUCGCCGUACUCAGUGCGCAUGGACUGGGCCCGGGACGGGCUGAACAUCAUGUAGGAGGCGAACUGCGGGCCGGCGUGGAUCUUCACCUUGUGACACGAUAAAGGACUUUAUAGUGGUAUUAUCAACUAUCAAUAUGGCUGCCAGGUGCAUUGUUGCAGGUUGUCGCAAUACAACUUAAAGGCCUACUGAAAGCCACUACUACCGACCACGCAGUCUGAUAGUUUAUACAUCAAUGAUGAAAUCUUAACAUUGCAACACAUGCCAAUACGGCCGGGUUAACUUAUAAAGUGCAAUUUUAAAUUUCCUGCUAAACUUCCGGUUGAAAACGUCUAUGUAUGAUGACGUAUGCGCAUGACGUCAAUGGUUGAAACGGAAGUAUUCGGACACCAUUGUAUCUAAUACAAAAAGCUUGGUUUUCAUCAAAAAAAUUCCACAGUAUUCUUGACAUCUGUGUUGGUGAAUCUUUUGCAAUUUGUUUAAUGAACAAUGAAGACUGCAAAGAAGAAAGCUGUAGGUGGGAUCGGUGUAUUAGCGGCUGGCUGCAGCAACACAACCAGGAGGACUUUGACUUGGAUAGCAGACGCGCUAUCCGACGCUAGCCGCCGACCGCAUUGAUGAUCGGGUGAAGUCCUUCGUCGCUCCGUCGAUCGCUGGAACGCAGGUGAGCACGGGUGUGAGCAGAUGAGGGCUGGCUGGCGUAGGUGGAUAGCUAAUGUUUUUAGCAUAGCUCUGUGAGGUCCCGUUGCUAAGUUAGCUUCA